rnacentral:sRNA from 1 species
UAGAAAAAAAUGGAUUGACCACUUUAGCCACAGAACAAGAACAGCACUGAACAUCUGUGGAAGUUUCCCUACUUCAUUCUGCCAGUAUGCCUUAACCAUGACCUGAAGAGAUUCACCUCUAAGAGUAAAAGGGUAUUUCUGCCUUCGAGCCCAUUCAGUCCUUGUUCUUU